CUGGCCGCGAGCCCCGCGGAGAGCGGGCGGGGCCUUGCUCCCCGCCCCCCCUGCUCGCUCCUCCCGGAGCCUUCUUGAGGCCUAUGGACGCCGGGGGAAGCUUCCAGCACAACAGUACUAUAACCAAAGGAUCUCGGUGCCCGGCUGGACGUGACCUUAUGCAGUGACCUUGGCCGGGAUGUGACCUCUGCUGGACAAGCCUCUCGCCACGCCCCGGGCUCCUCCUCUCCCAUCACUGCGCGUGAAGGCCAGGUGAGAGUGUGUCCAGGUGUGUGAUCGCUUGCGUCUGUACAGGUAUGUCGUGGUGGUGGUGGUGGAGGUGGUGAUGUCAUAUGUUCGUGGUGGUGUGUAUGGUGAUGGUGAUGAUGAGGAAGGCUGAUGUUGUGUUGAUAGUGAUGGUGGUGGUGGUGAUGAUGGUGGUGAUGAUGAUGUGCUACGCCUACCUGUGUGUUUGUGUGUUUGUGCGUCAAGGCCACGUGUGUAGAGAGAUCCACCCUGCCCUAUAUCCUCCUCCUCCUCCUCCUCCUCUUCCAACCUCCACUUCACCGCAAUACAAAACUCUAGGCACCUCUUUAUCAACACAGGAGGAUUGGAUGCUCUUUAUAACCUCCGGAACACA